GACAGAGGUGGCAAGCGUUGUUCGGAUUCAUUGGGUGUAAAGGGCAGGUAGGCUGUUUUGCAAGUCCGGCGUGAAAUCCCAGGGCUCAACCCUGGAACUGCGUUGGAAACUGCAUGACUUGAGUACUGUAGAGGUGUGGGGAAUUCUCGGUGUAAGGGUGAAAUCUGUAGAUAUCGAGAGGAACACCAGUGGCGAAGGCGCCACACUGGACAGUUACUGACGCUGAGCUGCGAAAGCAAGGGGAGCAAGCAGG
rnacentral:rRNA from 1 species